CUUGAUUGGCCGUGAGCUUCGGAAUGGGAAAGUUGAAAAUCCUUUUGUGAAGUAUGGACAAGCUGGAUUGGCUAAGAAAGGAGAGGAUUACUUUCUGAUUAAAACAGAUUGCCACAGGGUUCCCGGCGAUCCAUCGACUGCGUUUUCUGUCUUUGCGGUUUUUUUGAUGGGCAUAACGGUAUAUCAGCUGCAACGGAACCACAGAUGAAAAACGUAGCAUGACAGCAGCAAGCCAAGAAAUCGUUUCCAAACACUUAUCUCCUUGUUGGAUGCUGCAAUGAUAAAACCACUCAUGUGCACAAAAGUACAACCUGGGAUUCCAGCAACCUCAGAUAGCCUGUCAUUUUCCAAACCCCUCCAAAGAUAUGGUAGUGGUUUUCUGCUCUCAAAUCUUGCCGGUGAAAUUGCCACUGCCUGUAGUCUCCAUUUCUCGCUCCUAUCAUCCUGGUAAAGAACAUAUUUGAUGGAAGGGUUGAUUUUCAUUUCCUCCUGGAGCUCAUGUAUGUGAAAUCUCCAAGGACAAGAUCGAUUUAGCUUUAUAAUCUCCCCACUAGAAUCAAUAGUUUCUCUUG